rnacentral:lncRNA from 1 species
UGUUCCCAACAGUGACAGAGUGGGAGAAUGUGAUUAGUGAGUAGUUCUUUCCACCAACUUGAAGAGUCCCAUCACUGUCCUGCUCUGAGGGAUGGAGGAAGGUGGGAAGAGUCUGUGAAAAAAGAACAGCAGGAAUUCAGGGUGAAGAAGAUGUGGACUGUGUCUCCAAUGUCUGGUUUGCACAAAAGAGAGCUGGCGCCAUCUAAUUUUUGUGUGGAAAUCCGAAGAUGUCCUAAGGGCAUGUGAGAGAACUGAGGCUCAAGAGAUUUAAGGAGCUUGCCUGAAGUCACUGAGCUACUUGUGGCAUUUACUGUGAGGAGAAGAAAAUCAAAUUCAGAGAGGUAGAGGAACAUCAAUUAUGGAAAGCUGUGAAUGCCAGAGUGAAUAAAUAAGUGGAUGAAUAGGUUUGCUGUAAUGGCAAGUCAUUUAAAAUUACAUGAAACAAUGAAAACAGUGAAUUUGAGCACCUUCUAGAAGAAAGGACUUGAGAAAGAGAGGCCACAAGGAAAGUGAACAGCUAAAAUGUGAUUAUGUACUAUGAUGGUGAUGGCUAGGACUACGGUAACAGCUACAGCAAUCACAAAGAAAGAAUA